CAGUCGCCGCGGGAAUACGUAGGUGGCAAGCGUUGUCCGGAAUUAUUGGGCGUAAAGCGCGCGCAGGCGGAUCGGUCAGUCUGUCUUAAAAGUUCGGGGCUUAACCCCGUGAUGGGAUGGAAACUGCCAAUCUAGUGUAUCGGAGAGGAAAGUGGAAUUCCUAGUGUAGCGGUGAAAUGCGUAGAUGUUAGGAAGAACACCAGUGGCGAAGGCGACUUUCUGGACGAAAACUGACGCUGAGGCGCGAAAGCCAGGGGAGCGAACGGGAUUAGAUACCCCCGUAGUCCCUGUCUCUUAUACA
rnacentral:rRNA from 1 species